AUGGGAACAUGGGCAGAUACUGAUGUUCAUAAGGACAGUGCUGACCGACAUGGGCAUGGUAUGGAUCCAGUGAUUGAGUAUUGAUCUAUGCAUCUGUGAUAUCUAAAAGUCAGGCCUGAUACUGACAAUCGUGAGCCUGGCACGAACCAACAUGAGCAUGGUAGCUAUGAACAUGGACAGAUACUGACGUUCUUAAGGAGAGUGCUGACCGAUACAGACAUGGCAUGGAUCCAGCGAUUGAGUAUUGAUCUAGAUACAAUUUUGAUACGAUAACAUGUCAGUCAAGUCACAACUUCUGAUGCAAAUCAAUCUUCCAUAAAAA